UUCCACAGCUGUCCCAUUGUUCUAUUUUCUGUCCGUUUCCUGUUUGUUUAAACUAGAGGAACAGACCAGCUGUAUGGAAUUACUCAGUAAAAUAGCAUGGACAAUAUUCAUGGUAAUCAUGAAUACAGGAAUGAUUAUUUUACACAACACAACACUGGCAAAUGAAAGAGAUCAUUCAGGAUGGAUCUGUAUGGUUGGAUUUCAGCAGACACUGUGGAUGAUUGCAAUUUUCAU